rnacentral:rRNA from 1 species
GCGAGUGGCGGACGGGUGAGGAAUACAUCGGAAUCUACCUUUUCGUGGGGGAUAACGUAGGGAAACUUACGCUAAUACCGCAUACGACCUUAGGGUGAAAGCGGAGGACCUUCGGGCUUCGCGCGGAUAGAUGAGCCGAUGUCGGAUUAGCUAGUUGGCGGGGUAAAGGCCCACCAAGGCGACGAUCCGUAGCUGGUCUGAGAGGAUGAUCAGCCACACUGGAACUGAGACACGGUCCAGACUCCUACGGGAGGCAGCAGUGGGGAAUAUUGGACAAUGGGCGCAAGCCUGAUCCAGCCAUGCCGCGUGGGUGAAGAAGGCCUUCGGGUUGUAAAGCCCUUUUGUUGGGAAAGAAAAGCAGUCGGUUAAUACCCGAUUGUUCUGACGGUACCCAAAGAAUAAGCACCGGCUAACUUCGUGCCAGCAGCCGCGGUAAUACGAAGGGUGCAAGCGUUACUCGGAAUUACUGGGCGUAAAGCGUGCGUAGGUGGUUGU